CGCGGAUUAGAGCAGAGGUUAGCUUGCUACUUUGACUUGGUAGAGGUCGUUGGUUCGAGUCCAACAUCCGCAA
rnacentral:tRNA from 1 species